UACGUAGGUGACAAGCGUUGUCCGGAUUUACUGGGCGUAAAGAGCGCGCAGGCGGUCGUUCAAGUCGAGUGUGAAAGCCCCCGGCUCAACUGGGGAGGGUCACUCGAUACUGAUCGACUCGAAGGCAGGAGAGGGUAGUGGAAUUUCCGGUGUAGCGGUGAAAUGCGUAGAGAUCGGAAGGAACACCAGUGGCGAAGGCGGCUACCUGGCUUAAUACUGACACUGAGGCACGAAAGCGUGGGGAGCAAACAGG
rnacentral:rRNA from 1 species